CAACGCGAAGAACCUUACCUGGUCUUGACAUCCCGGAGACCCUUAGGAAACUAGGGGUGCUUCCAUCUGGAAGAAUCUGGAGACAGGUGCUGCAUGGCUGUCGUCAGCUCGUGUCGUGAGAUGUUGGGUUAAGUCCCGCAACGAGCGCAACCCUUGCCUUUAGUUGCCAGCAGUUCGGCUGGGCACUCUAAAGGGACUGCCGGUGUUAAACCGGAGGAAGGUGGGGAUGACGUCAAGUCCUCAUGGCCUUUAUGACCAGGGCUACACACGUACUACAAUGGCCGAUACAAAGGGCAGCGACACUGCGAGGUGAAGCCAAUCCCGUAAAAUCGGUCUCAGUCCGGAUUGGAGUCUGCAACUCGACUCCAUGAAGUUGGAAUCGCUAGUAAUCGUGGAUCAGCAUGCCACGGUGAAUACGUUCCCGGGCCUU
rnacentral:rRNA from 1 species